UUCAAAAGACUGUGAAAGGAACAGGUUACAAAAUACUCUAUUCCAAUGAGUGCUUCGUGUGGGCAUUUUGUAACCAGACUCCGCUGGAUUGGCAUCCUGUCUCCACAAUUUUCUCUCCAUCAUCUGUAAACUCGUGGGCCAGUUACUUUCCCUCUCAAGAUCCUUAUCCAUAGAAUGAGGAUCUACUUCAUGGGGUUGACAUGAGGCUUUUAAAGGUUAUUCGUUAUUGGCGUUAAUUUGGACUAAGGAGGGUUGUGAGAAAUUUGAUUACUCAUUGAUGAUGUCAUUCCAUCCUCACAAUGACUUGGUGAGAUGUGUACUAGUUAACUCUUCUCAGGUUGAGGUAACCAAGGCACAGGAAAGUAAAUAGGUGACCAAUGGCACCCGGCCAAUUCAGUGUUGUAGCCAGGAUACCAUUCCAGGCAGUGUGGCUGCACAGCCCAGUCACUCCUCAAACCACACAACACUGACUUACAGAUCAUAAACGAGCGCUGCAUCAGGAGUACAGAAAAAUCGCGUCUCUCAUUUCAGAGUUCUCCUGGGCAUGAAGAAGAAGACGGCCACCACCUGCCUCUGUGUCUCUGUGUGGUACCAAGAAAAAACCCUGGAAGCCCCAGAGCCCUCUGCUAGGUAGCAGCCAGGGCUGUGGCAUCUCUGCCCAAGCUUCUCCCUGCUGGAUUCAAUAUGAAAGGGUGUUCUGUCUUGAGUUUCAAAGUCCAACACCACCAACACUCCUUCUCAUGUGGCAGCAAAAGUACAACAGGGAUCUCUGCCUUCCCACCUCAGUGCAAUGAAGCCCCACACCGCAGAGCUUAGGAACCCAUGGGAAACUCAUCAUCACCAUGCUUCACCAAAUGCCAUUUGUUUCCAGAAAGGAAGCUAAGUAAACAGCCCUUUGAUUUGUUGCUUCUCAACUUCUAAAGAAAUCUAGCCUGAGAAUCUAGUUCAGAUGAUGUUGAAGGCUGACCCAGCAACCACACCGUUUAUCACCUCCCUGCUUCACACAUACACCUCCUCCUAGCGGACAGAAUCUGCCAUGUCAUAUGGAGACUGCAAAUGACAGCUUUCCUUGCAUUUGGAGCACGAACAUGCAGCCCGCCAUGACCACUGGGAUCCGAAGGGAACUCUACUGAGAAAGGGGUGAGAAAUGGAGGAAGCAAGGCAAGAAGAGCAUAGUUCUUCUCUUUAAUAAAAAGGAUUUGGAGAACAGUUGUCCCUUUCAGCCUUUUUAUGUACAAUUGCUUAAAAUACUAUGCCAAAUGACUUGGCUGCCAUCUUGCAAUCACGAGGGCAAAAAGCUCAAGAACAAAACCCAAUAUUCUGAAGAAGAUGGAACAGAAGGUAGAAGAUCUUGAGACUUCAAUGAUUUUUUUUUUUUUUUAAAUAUGGAAGGCUUCAUGAAUUUGUGUGUCAUCCUUGUACAGGGGCCAUGCUAAUCUUCUCUGUAUCAUUCCAAUUUUGAUAUCUGUGCUGCUGAAGCAAGCACUUCAAUGACAUUUUAAGCCAUUGAACUAAACCCUUGCCUCUGUAUUUUAUAUUAUGUGGAAUAACUACUGUACUUCUUAUCAAAUCCAUCUUUAAUUGGGUAGUCUAUUUUGCAA